AACGUUGUUGCAGUUAAAAAGCUCGUAGUUGAAGUGAAGUGUGAAUCUCUUGGAUUUUCGUUUGAAUUUCCUUUAGCUUCAUACUCUUUCCAAAUAGUUUGCAUGGGUAUUUACUUAUCUGUGUAUUGCAUUUGGUCAUUUACUGUGAGAAAAUUAGAGUGUUCAAAGCAUACGUUUGUUUGAAUACAUUAGCAUGGAAUAAUUCGAAAAGGCUUUCAUGUUCGAUUUGAUUGGUUUGUUCGUGAAGGCAAGAUUAAAAGGGACAGUUGGGGGUAUUCAUAUUCAAUAGUCAGAGGUGAAAUUCUCGGAUUUAUGGAAGAUGAACUAGUGCGAAAGCAUUUACCAAGGAUGUUUUCAUUAAUCAAGAACGAAAGUUAGGGGAUCGAAGAGGCUUAGAUACCCUCGUAGUCUUAACUAUAAACGAUACCGACUAGGGGUUAGUGGAGGUCAUUUGUCUCUACUAGUACCUUAUGAGAAAUCAAAGUCUUUGGGUUCCGGGGGGAGUAUGGUCGCAAGGCUGAAACUUAAAGGAAUUGACGGAAGGGCACCACCAGGAGUGGAGCCUGCGGCUUAAUUUGACUCAACACGGGGAAACUUACCAGGUCCAGACAUAGGAAGGAUAGACAGAACAAAGCUCUUUCUUGAUUCUAUGGGUGGUGGUGCAUGGCCGUUCUUAGUUGGUGGAGUGAUUUGUCUGGUUAAUUCCGAUAACGAACGAGACCUCCGCCUGCUAACUAGGUUUUAUUAGUUUUUAGUAAAAUCUUCUUAGAGGGACACUAUACGUUUUAGUGUAGGGAAGCUGGAGGCAAUAACAGGUCUGUGAUGCCCUUAGAUGUUCUGGGCUGCACGCGCGCGACACUGAUCUAUUCAACGAGUGACUGGAUCGAUAGAUUUGGU
rnacentral:rRNA from 1 species